UGCUAAUCUCAAUAUUGAAAAUUAUCAUCUUUCUUAUUAGUUUUUCUAAAUUCUGAAAUAAUGGCAGUUUCAGCUACUACUACUCUUAUGACUCCAUUGAAAACUUCAUCGUUAUCUUUUUCUUCUGUUUCAAAUGUUGUUUUUCCUAAGAAACAAUACUUUAAACUUUGUGCAACAUCUGAUGUUUCACUUACUGGUGUGGUGUUUGAGCCAUUUGAUGAAGUUAACAAGGAUGAAUUUAUGGUUCCUAUCACACCACACACUUCACUUGCUCGACAGAGGUACGCCGACGAAUGUGAAGGUGCUAUCAAUGAGCAGAUCAAUGUGGAGUACAACAUUUCGUAUGUAUACCACGCCAUGUUCGCCUACUUUGACAGGGACAACGUAGCUCUAAAAGGCCUCGCAAAAUUCUUCAAGGAGUCAAGUGAAGAAGAAAAGGAACAUGCUGAGAAGUUAAUGCAUUAUCAGAACAUCCGAGGAGGAAGAGUGAAGCUACAUUCUAUUAUGAUGCCUCCUUCUGAAUUUGAUCAUGUUGAUAAGGGAGACGCGUUGUAUGCAAUGGAACUGGCAUUGUCCUUGGAGAAGUUAACAAAGGAGAAACUUUUGACCCUGCAUAGCGUGGCUGAUCGAAACAAUGACUCCGAAAUGCAAGAUUUUGUUGAACGCGAAUUUUUGGCCGAGCAGGUUGAGGCUAUUAAGAAAAUUGCAGAAUAUGUAAGUCAGCUAAGGAGGGUUGGAAAAGGACAUGGAGUGUGGCACUUUGAUCAGAUGCUUUUACAUUAAUAUACAUAAUGGUGCAGCUUGAAGGUCCCCCAGUUCAGGCUCCUUUUAUCUUUAGAUUGAAAUGCUUGGAUUGACAUUUAACCAACUCGUUUACUUACUUUUACCCAAAAUUAUGUUCUUAUUCGGUUUGGUAUACUGGAAAGGGAAAAUGUGCUGCUUCUUAAUUACGAAACCGUCAAAAAUGCUUUUAAAUAUGCAAAAAUGGAAUAAAUUGCUCUUUGUUAAUCA